rfam:Candidatus Kaiserbacteria bacterium RIFCSPHIGHO2_12_FTLL_53_13 rifcsphigho2_12_scaffold_7056, whole genome shotgun sequence.
GUGAGGAUGACGCCAAGUCAGCAUGUCCCUCUGAUGUCCUGGGCUGCACACGCGCUACAAUGGCCGUUACAAAGGGGCGCGACGGGGUAACCCUGAGCAAAUCCUUAAAAGCGGCCUCAGUUCGGAUUGAGGUCUGCAACCCGACCUCAUGAAGCUGGAAUCGCUAGUAAUCGUGGAUCAGCCACGCCACGGUGAAUACGUUCUCAAGCCUUGUACUCACAAUAAAAGCGCACAGCAGUGCGCGCAUCUAUGCGGUUCGAAUCCGCACCUCU